UAGGGGGCAAGCGUUAUCCGGAAUUACUGGGUGUAAAGGGAGCGCAGACGGUCAUGCAAGUCUGGAGUGAAAGGCGGGGGCCCAACCCCCGGCCUGCUCUGGAAACUGUGAGACUGGAGUGCAGGAGAGGCAGGCGGAAUUCCUGGUGUAGCGGUGAAAUGCGUAGAUAUCAGGAGGAACACCGGUGGCGAAGGCGGCCUGCUGGACUGUAACUGACGUUGAGGCUCGAAAGCGUGGGGAGCAAA
rnacentral:rRNA from 1 species